rnacentral:tRNA from 1 species
GCGGGAGUAGCUCAGUUGGUAGAGCGCGACCUUGCCAAGGUCGAGGUCGCCGGUUCGAGCCCGGUCUCCCGCUCCA